CAGGCAACUCACAACCGUGCCACCCAAAGGCCAAGAUCUCUGUCCCAGACCCUGACAACCAGCCUGCUCAUCUCUGGUAAUGUCCCAGAAAAAAAUGGAUAAGAGGGUCCUUUUCACUGCCUCUGUUCCUGUCUCCAGGAGUUCCCCCAGGGAACACUGCUCUUGCAGGAUCCAAUACAAGAUACAACACUGCAUUUAGUCUUCACGUCUCCUUAGUCUCCUGGUUUCUCAGCUAUUCCUUGUAUUCUGUGACCUUGAGAAUUUUGGAGAGCACAGGUCAAAUAUUUUGCGGAGUGCCCCUCAAUUUGACUUUCUUGAUGUUUUCUCAUGAUUAGGCUGGGGUUGUGGGUUAAUGGGAGGACCACGGAGGUGAAGUACCCCCUCACUGCACCACAGCAGAGAGUGUCACGUCAACGUCAACAGGACCUACCACGUGGUUAUGACUGGUUUCUCCACUGUGGAGUUACUGUGUCCCCAUCCUACAUGCUAUUCUUUGGCAGUGUGUCACAGGCCAG
rnacentral:lncRNA from 1 species